GACGAACGCUGGCGGCGUGCCUAAUACAUGCAAGUCGAACGAACUCUGGUAUUGAUUGGUGCUUGCAUCAUGAUUUACAUUUGAGUGAGUGGCGAACUGGUGAGUAACACGUGGGAAACCUGCCCAGAAGCGGGGGAUAACACCUGGAAACAGAUGCUAAUACCGCAUAACAACUUGGACCGCAUGGUCCGAGCUUGAAAGAUGGCUUCGGCUAUCACUUUUGGAUGGUCCCGCGGCGUAUUAGCUAGAUGGUGGGGUAACGGCUCACCAUGGCAAUGAUACGUAGCCGACCUGAGAGGGUAAUCGGCCACAUUGGGACUGAGACACGGCCCAAACUCCUACGGGAGGCAGCAGUAGGGAAUCUUCCACAAUGGACGAAAGUCUGAUGGAGCAACGCCGCGUGAGUGAAGAAGGGUUUCGGCUCGUAAAACUCUGUUGUUAAAGAAGAACAUAUCUGAGAGUAACUGUUCAGGUAUUGACGGUAUUUAACCAGAAAGCCACGGCUAACUACGUGCCAGCAGCCGCGGUAAUACGUAGGUGGCAAGCGUUGUCCGGAUUUAUUGGGCGUAAAGCGAGCGCAGGCGGUUUUUUAAGUCUGAUGUGAAAGCCUUCGGCUCAACCGAAGAAGUGCAUCGGAAACUGGGAAACUGA
rnacentral:rRNA from 2 species